UGGGGAAUAUUGCACAAUGGGCGAAAGCCUGAUGCAGCAACGCCGCGUGAGUGAUGAAGGUCUUCGGAUUGUAAAGCUCUGUCUUUUGGACGAUAAUGACGGUACCAAAGGAGGAAGCCACGGCUAACUACGUGCCAGCAGCCGCGGUAAUACGUAGGUGGCGAGCGUUGUCCGGAUUUACUGGGCGUAAAGGGUGCGUAGGCGGAUGUUUAAGUGAGAUGUGAAAUACCCGGGCUUAACUUGGGUGCUGCAUUUCAAACUGGAUAUCUAGAGUGCAGGAGAGGAGAAUGGAAUUCCUAGUGUAGCGGUGAAAUGCGUAGAGAUUAGGAAGAACACCAGUGGCGAAGGCGAUUCUCUGGACUGUAACUGACGCUGAGGCACGAAAGCGUGGGUAGCAAACAGGAUUAGAUACCCUGGUAGUCCACGCCGUAAACGAUGAGUACUAGGUGUAGGAGGUAUCGACCCCUUCUGUGCCGCAGUAAACACAUUAAGUACUCCGCCUGGGAAGUACGAUCGCAAGAUUAAAACUCUAAAGUGAAUUGACGGGGUC
rnacentral:rRNA from 1 species